rnacentral:rRNA from 1 species
AUUGAACGCUGGCGGCAUGCCUUACACAUGCAAGUCGAACGGCAGCACGGAUGCUUGCACCUGGUGGCGAGUGGCGAACGGGUGAGUAAUACAUCGGAACAUGUCCUGUAGUGGGGGAUAGCCCGGCGAAAGCCGGAUUAAUACCGCAUACGAUCUACGGAUGAAAGCGGGGGACCUUCGGGCCUCGCGCUAUAGGGUUGGCCGAUGGCUGAUUAGCUAGUUGGUGGGGUAAAGGCCUACCAAGGCGACGAUCAGCAGCUGGUCUGAGAGGACGACCAGCCACACUGGGACUGAGACACGGCCCAGACUCCUACGGGAGGCAGCAGUGGGGAAUUUUGGACAAUGGGCGAAAGCCUGAUCCAGCAAUGCCGCGUGUGUGAAGAAGGCCUUCGGGUUGUAAAGCACUUUUGUCCGGAAAGAAAUCCUUGGCCCUAAUACGGUCGGGGGAUGACGGUACCGGAAGAAUAAGCACCGGCUAACUACGUG